rnacentral:rRNA from 1 species
UUUCCGUAGGUGAACCUGCGGAGGGAUCAUUACCGAGUUUACAACUCCCAAACCCCUGUGAACAUACCACUUGUUGCCUCGGCGGAUCAGCCGCUCCGGUAAAACGGGACGGCCCGCCAGAGGACCCCUAAACUCUGUUUCUAUAUGUAACUUCUGAGUAAAACCAUAAAUAAAUCAAAACUUUCAACAACGGAUCUCUUGGUUCUGGCAUCGAUGAAGAACGCAGCAAAAUGCGAUAAGUAAUGUGAAUUGCAGAAUUCAGUGAAUCAUCGAAUCUUUGAACGCACAUUGCGCCCGCCAGUAUUCUGGCGGGCAUGCCUGUUCGAGCGUCAUUUCAACCCUCAAGCACAGCUUGGUGUUGGGACUCGCGUUAAUUCGCGUUCCUCAAAUUGAUUGGCGGUCACGUCGAGCUUCCAUAGCGUAGUAGUAAAACCCUCGUUACUGGUAAUCGUCGCGGCCACGCCGUUAAACCCCAACUUCUGAAUGUGACCUCGGAUCAGGA